CCCCUGCAUGUAUGUACUCCUUCCCGUUGACGCCAGUGUGAGCAAUACACAAGCAAUACACAAUACAUGGCAGUAUUGUAGUUCCCCAGCCAGAUGUUUGAGUGGUAUUAACAGUGGCUCAGGCAGUGAUGAGGCGCGGGGCUUGAGAGGUUUCCUGCCAGGUGCUGCAGGGCGUUGUGUGUAAUCUUUGUCCCCCAGCCGGGUUAUUGAUUGUUAUUCAUGAAGCUUCUCUUUUCAAUUCAAGAGCGCCCUCGUCCCGGUCAAUAACCGUGAAUGAAGCAACAUCGGCCGCCAGUACAGUGCUCGCAGAUAGCGGUUGUGGGCGUGGGUAGGGGGCUGGAGGUGCGUCAAAGGACCCUUGCAGAGAGAUAUGCUCAGGCUCCUAUUGAAGCCCUCUUUUGUCCAAGAGUUCACAGUCGAUAAAACACCUUUCAGCUGUGGUGUGAUGGUUUCAACCUUUCAUUUGCUAUCUAGAUUAGAUCUCGACUCGGUGAUCUCUGUGAAAUCUACAUUGGAAUUUACCACAAGCUAUCUUCUGAAGUGGGUUGAUUGUGGAACUUGUUGAACUUCUCUCUUGUUGUGUGCUUAAACAAGGGAACACAGUGCCAUCCCAGGCAGCCAUGACCUCUCUCCACCUCCACAGAAGCUUCUUAUGAAAGAGAGAGAGGAAAAGAGAGAAAGACAGUGAAAUUGCUUGGCUCAUACUCAUCAAACAAAGAGAGGAUUUUUGUUUUAAUAGGACAUGUACCACAUAUUUUCUAGUAUGAAUGCUCACCUGAUGUUAUGCCAGUUGUAUCGGUCUGUCGAUGAUGUGUAAUAUUACACUAAUAUCUUAAUAAUCUGAAUUUGAUUUCUGUGCUGUAUCAGUCAGUGUGUGCAUGUGCGUAUGAGUAUGUACAUAUGCAUAUCAUUUAAAGUGUGGCAUUCCAUCCAAAAGAACGAGUAGUAAAGUCAGAGAAAGAUGUGUGUAUCCUGUUUGUGUGAAAGGAGCCUGUUAGUUAUUUCUUCUGACUACCAAUGGGGGCAGGGCAGUCCAGGGGUUAGGUUGUCCGUCUCCCAGCCAACAGUUCAACUCGUGUCUAUGCUGUACGUCUCGUUGGAUAAAGGUGCCUGCUAAAUGGCUAAAUAGGAUUAGUAAUUAAUACUACAAUUUAGAACGCUACCUUUGAAACCUGAUGGUAUUGCGGAUCUGAUUGAGCUGGCUGUCGUUGACCUUCAUCACAUCUCAUUCACAAGACUCCUCUCCCUCUGUAUCUCCUCAGUGAGACCAGCAGGAGAAGCCCUUCAGUUUAAUGUUUAUAAUGUGAAUGAAGUCAAAGUAAAGAGAGAGGCCAUUAGACUUCUGUGGCGGAGCCCUGUGUCUUUUUUUUUUUUUUUUUACCAUUGAGUGGUACUUACCCACUCUAAGGGUUCAGAGGGCUGUUGACUGCUAGUUGACAUCAAUACACAUGCUCCCAUUUAUGUAUUUACUUUAAUUACAUAGAUCUGUAUCGCUGUAUAUCUUUUAUAUAAAUAUAUACACACACAAACACACAUUUUAUCUGAGAUGGGAGAUUUGCAGCUUAUUCAAAUCCAAGUGGACAGAGGAAAGCAGCAAAGCAAAUCAUAGACGGAUAAUGAUGCGUGAUUUAAUUAAUCAGGCCCGCAGCACGACCGGCAGGGGAAGACGAUGGGGCUGAUGUGCGGGGAGAUAAGAGGAAAAUUAAUUUACAUGGAUGUCGCUCAGCUUUACUUAACUCGCGUCGUGCCCCCGUUCUGGCUCGCGGGAAACAAGUGGGAACAAGGCUGGUACGGUUUUGGCAGCCCACGGACCCGGUUCCGCCCUGACCGCCCGCGACCCUGCCGUGAACUCCCUGUGACCUGAGGAUGUCAAACGGAGAGCGCCGUAUUAGGACGUCUAGAAGACCCUUCAGGGAACACAGAUUUCAUGUUAGGGGCUGUAGUAGUAAGGCGAGAACUGUUGAAUUAUUAAAACAAUACCAAAUCUA
ensembl:lncRNA